UAGGGAAUCUUCCGCAAUGGGCGAAAGCCUGACGGAGCAACGCCGCGUGAGUGAUGAAGGUCUUCGGAUCGUAAAACUCUGUUAUUAGGGAAGAACAAAUGUGUAAGUAACUAUGCACGUCUUGACGGUACCUAAUCAGAAAGCCACGGCUACCUACGUGCCAGCAGCCGCGGUAAUACGUUGGUGGCAAGCGUUAUCCGGAAUUAUUGGGCGUAAAGCGCGCGUAGGCGGUUUUUUAAGUCUGAUGUGAAAGCCCACGGCUCAACCGUUGAGAGUCAUUGGAAUCUGGUAAACUUGAGUGCAGAAGAGGAACGCGGAAUUCUAUGCUUAGCGGUGAAAUGCGCAGCGUCAGGUAGGACACCCACUGGCCAAGGCGACUCUCUGGUCUGUAACUGACCCUAAUGUGCGAAAGCGGGGGGAUCAAACAGG
rnacentral:rRNA from 1 species